UCUGGAAGGAAGGGCUGUGCUGGGAGGAGGACGGUCUCUAGACUCUGCUCAGAGUGGAGCCUUGGGCCCGCCCGAGGGCUGCCUCCACCAGCUCAUCCUGGGUCACCAGAGAGCCCUCUCUUGGUGGCCCCUCCACCCUCCCCCUUCCUCCUGGGGGUGGCACAGCCGCUGGUCCCACACUCCGCCCACACCCUCCAGGGAACCUUGUGUGGGCCUCCGCUGGGCGGGAUGUGAGGACAAGAUUGGCACGGACGCCGGGCACAUGGUCUGGUGGCUCUCGGCUCCACAGACUGAGGCCCGGCACUGAGCAUGCGCUGGUGAGCACAAACCCAUCGAGGAGCUGGGCAGGUGGCUCUGGCCGCAGACAGGAGGACAUCCAUAGCUGCUCCUCCGGGGAUGUGCUUCCCUUCCCCAGAAGCCAGAGGCAGAGGGCAUUCACCUGCGGCUUUGGGGUGAAGGCCUGGCGAUCCUGGGGGACAGGAAAAAGAAGAGCUCCCCAUGCCUCCCAGUGGUUCUCAAGGUCCCGUGAGACCCUCUUUCUUCCGGGGAUGCCAGCCUCCUCUCCGGUGCACUCCAUUCCCUCGCUCCAGCCACGACGGCUGACAGGCCACACCGAUUCUUCCUCAGGGACUUUGCACGGCUCUUCCCUUUGCCUGCACAUGCUUCCUCCAGGGCUCCAUGGAGCUCGCUCCACCAUUCGGGGUCUCGCUCAGCCGCAACGGCUUUGGUUGUUGGACCAGGGGGAGCGGAUUUCUCUCGGAGAUUUUUCCUGACCCGAUUGGUGUUUCUCGAUCACCGGCUUCUCCAGCAUCUGAACUGGGAUAUGUGAGGAGUAGAGAAGACUCAGGGAACUCACCAACAUUCCUCGGGCCCCAAGAUCCUUAGUGGGUCUGCUUUCUUCCCUCCAUGUUUCAGAGGUUAUAUAUAACGUCCAUGACUGUUAGCAGUCCUCAGUGGGAAGAAUGGAAAAGUACUUCCACCCCGGCUCUCGGUGUGUGAAAGUCCUCAAGGUCAGGGACGUUUGCAAUUGCCCAGGGGUUCCCUCAAGAUUCUGAUUUCUGCAUGACUCCCGUUCAUACUGAGUUUCUGCUCUAAUUGUUCACUUCUUACGCCAAAAUAUUCUUGUGAAAAUUUUGAAUACGAUA